rnacentral:rRNA from 1 species
GACGAACGCUGGCGGCGUGCCUAAUACAUGCAAGUCGUGCGGACUUUGCGGGAGCUUGCUCCCAAGAAGUUAGCGGCGGACGGGUGAGUAACACGUGGGCAACCUGCCUGACAGACUGGGAUAACAUUCGGAAACAAAUGCUAAUACCGGAUAGGCAGCGAAGAGGCAUCUCUUUGCUGAGAAAGGCGCUACGGCGUCACUGUCAGAUGGGCCCGCGGCGCAUUAGCUAGUUGGUAGGGUAACGGCCUACCAAGGCGGCGAUGCGUAGCCGACCUGAGAGGGUGACCGGCCACACUGGGACUGAGACACGGCCCAGACUCCUACGGGAGGCAGCAGUAGGGAAUCUUCCACAAUGGGCGAAAGCCUGAUGGAGCAACGCCGCGUGAGUGAUGAAGGCCUUCGGGUUGUAAAACUCUGUCUUCUGGGACGAACGGCCAAGAGAGGGAAUGCUCUUGGAUUGACGGUACCAGAGGAGGAAGCCACGGCUAACUACGUGCCAGCCGCCGCCGUAA